rnacentral:rRNA from 1 species
UACGAGGGGUGCAAACGUUAUUCGGAAUUAUUGGGCGUAAAGGGUGUGUAGACGGUAUCUUAAGUCGAUUGUUUAAUCCUCCGGCCUAACCGGAGACCGGCAGUCGAUACUGGGAAACUAGAGGUUGGAAGAGAGAAGCGGAAUUCUCGGAGUAGCGGUAAAAUGCGUAGAUCUCGAGAGGAACACCAAUGGCGAAAGCAGCUUCUUGGUCCAUACCUGACGUUGAGACACGAAAGCGUGGGGAGCAAACAGG